rnacentral:rRNA from 1 species
AACGCGUGGGAACGUGCCCCUCGGUUCGGAAUAACUCAGGGAAACUUGAGCUAAUACCGGAUACGCCCUUUUGGGGAAAGGCUUGACUGCCGAAGGAUCGGCCCGCGUCUGAUUAGCUAGUUGGUGAGGUUAUGGCUCACCAAGGCGACGAUCAGUAGCUGGUCUGAGAGGAUGAUCAGCCACACUGGGACUGAGACACGGCCCAGACUCCUACGGGAGGCAGCAGUGGGGAAUAUUGGACAAUGGGGGCAACCCUGAUCCAGCCAUGCCGCGUGAGUGAUGACGGCCUUAGGGUUGUAAAGCUCUUUUCUCCGGGACGAUAAUGACGGUACCGGAGGAAUAAGCCCCGGCUAACUUCGUGCCAGCAGCCGCGGUAAUACGAAGGGGGCUAGCGUUGCUCGGAAUCACUGGGCGUAAAGGGCGCGUAGGCGGCUGAUUUAGUCGAGGGUGAAAGCCCGUGGCUCAACCACGGAAUGGCCUUCGAUACUGGUUGGCUUGAGACCGGAAGAGGACAGCGGAACUGCGAGUGUAGAGGUGAAAUUCGUAGAUAUUCGCAAG